rnacentral:piRNA from 1 species
UGAAACUAUCAAGUGAGGCCAGUGUGGUGUU